GAUGAACGCUGGCGGCGUGCUUAACACAUGCAAGUCGAACGAAACACCUUAUUUGAUUUUCUUCGGAACUGAAGAUUUGGUGAUUGAGUGGCGGACGGGUGAGUAACGCGUGGGUAACCUGCCCUGUACAGGGGGAUAACAGUCAGAAAUGACUGCUAAUACCGCAUAAGACCACAGCACCGCAUGGUGCAGGGGUAAAAACUCCGGUGGUACAGGAUGGACCCGCGUCUGAUUAGCUGGUUGGUGAGGUAACGGCUCACCAAGGCGACGAUCAGUAGCCGGCUUGAGAGAGUGAACGGCCACAUUGGGACUGAGACACGGCCCAAACUCCUACGGGAGGCAGCAGUGGGGAAUAUUGCACAAUGGGGGAAACCCUGAUGCAGCGACGCCGCGUGAGUGAAGAAGUAUUUCGGUAUGCAAAGCUCUAUCAGCAGGGAAGAAAAUGACGGUACCUGACUAAGAAGCCCCGGCUAACUACGUG
rnacentral:rRNA from 1 species